rfam:Gossypium raimondii Chr05_contig_572, whole genome shotgun sequence.
UGUUAAAAAUUUCAUUCAUUUGUACUAUUAAAAACUAGAAUGAUUAACAAAAUAACAAGAUAGUAAUGCUUGAUGUGUGAUGUGUACCUCAUGCUGAUGUAUACAGAUCAAUUUUUAACAGAAGAAAUGAAUGAAACUUUUAACA